rnacentral:pre_miRNA from 1 species
UGUCUUUCUACCUCUCUCUUUCCACACAGAUUUGUCCUUUGAGAAUCAAACAUGUGAAGGACGAAUGUGUGUGGAAAGAGCGAGACGUAAAGGGAC